rnacentral:misc_RNA from 1 species
CCAAACUUGGUCAUUUAGAGGAAGUAAAAGUCGUAACAAGGUUUCCGUAGGUGAACCUGCGGAAGGAUCAUUAAAAAUAUCUCAUCUAUGUGAUGAAAUACCUCGUGUGCAAUGUAUAUAUAAAAAAGAAAAGGGAUGGAAUGUAAUGUUCCAUCUUUUUUUUUUUUAAAAAUAUAUGUAUACACCAAUUAAACUUGUGAAUAAAAAAAUUUAUUUUUAAAACAAAUACAACUUUCAACAACGGAUCUCUUGGCUCUCGCAUCGAUGAAGAACGCAGC